GAUGAACGCUGGCGGCGUGCCUAAUACAUGCAAGUCGAGCGAAUCACUGGGAGCUUGCUCCUGGUGGUUAGCGGCGGACGGGUGAGUAACACGUGGGCAACCUGCCUGUAAGACUGGGAUAACACCGGGAAACCGGUGCUAAUACCGGAUAAUCCUUUCCCUCUCAUGAGGGAAAGCUGAAAGUCGGUUUCGGCUGACACUUACAGAUGGGCCCGCGGCGCAUUAGCUAGUUGGUGAGGUAACGGCUCACCAAGGCGACGAUGCGUAGCCGACCUGAGAGGGUGAUCGGCCACACUGGGACUGAGACACGGCCCAGACUCCUACGGGAGGCAGCAGUAGGGAAUCUUCCACAAUGGACGAAAGUCUGAUGGAGCAACGCCGCGUGAGCGAUGAAGGCCUUCGGGUCGUAAAGCUCUGUUGUUAGGGAAGAACAAGUACCGGAGUAACUGCCGGUACCUUGACGGUACCUAACCAGAAAGCCACGGCUAACUACGUGCCAGCAGCCGCGGUAAGAC
rnacentral:rRNA from 1 species